CCCGAAGGAGCAAUGAGGCUGAAGAGGCAGCUGUGGUUCAGGGGAGAGGCCCAGGAUAGAGCUAUGCAUUUGAGCCCAUGGACCCCAAGAGUGGAUGGACCCCAAGAUCUAGGAGACCAAGCCUAAAGGAGAAAACAACAGGAACAGCACUGGAAGCCAACAGGCCAGAUGGAGUUAGUCCUGAAGUCAAACUUUCAGAAAGAAAAAUGUCUUAGUCUUCAAGCACCCCAGAAUUCUAGCCUGGGACAAUCCAGGGCAGGCUGGCUGAAGCUCAAAGCAGCAAGACGGCCGCCAAAAUGUAAUCUACUCACUGGCUGAUUCUCCAAAAUACCCUCCCAGUCUAUGCAUCCUGGGCUCUGUCCCUAAGAGGAAGCCAGACCUUUCUGCUCACCAACUCGUCCCCCUGCACCUUCCUGAUUGAAGCCACAUUCCACGUCAUGCCUGUACAUCUUCCCCUCGCCCUUCAGACCCAGGAGUGUGCAGCUAUGGAAGCCCUUUUUUCAAAAUGGUCACAGGGUUCAACUCAGCCUAACUGGACACAGGCCUGGUCCCUGCAGCAUCGAAGAAGCCAGGGGUAGCAUCUUUGGCCAAGUCACCCACUGACCCCCACGGCCUGGCAACUUUUGUGCUUCCCACCUGCAUGUCACCUCUGGGGGUCCCUUCCCUCCAAGAACGUUGCCAUCAGGUGGUCUUUCUGAUUUCCUCUGCUUCAGCAAAGGCCUUAUUUUUUACUCAAGAGCCUGGCUUCCUGAUCUGCACAAAAGAGACUCUCCAGAUGUGUCCUGGAAAAUCCCCCAAAAGUAGGGGGAAAGGUCCCAGUCAAAGCCAAAGCAAGGAAGAGGAAAAAGAGGAAGGAGGAAACUGUCAUGGGAUAAGAUUUUGUCACAUAUCUGUAAUUAAAGGUCCUCUUAUAUGUGCAUACACAAACACACGCACGUAUACGCAUAACACGGUUAACAAAUAUUAAGAUCUUAACAGUGGCCUUCUCUAGGAAAGAUGGGAUUAUGGGUGACUUUGAUUCGCCUCUAUCCUAGCUCUCCUCUUACUAGCUGUGUGAUUUAGAGCAGGUUAGCUAGCCUCUCAGUUACUCAGUUUCUUCACCUGUAAAAUGGGGCCAUCAUUCUUCUCAGUGUACUAUAUUGUGAAGAUUAAAUGAGAUUAUACAUAUCAAGAUCUCAGAACAGUGCCAGGCACACGUAGUAGAGGUUGAGCAUUCUUAAUCUGAAAACCAAAAAUCUGAAAUGCUCCAAAGUCCAAAACUUUUUGAAUGCCAACAUGACACCACAAGUAGGAAAUUCUACACCUGACCCCAUGUGAUGGGUCGCAGUCAAAAGACCAUCAAAACUUUGUUUUGUGAACAAAAUUAUUAAUAAUAUUGUAUAAAAUUACCUUCAGGCUACACAUGUAAGAUGUAUAUGAAACAUUAAUAAAUUUUGUGUUUAGACUUGGGCCCCAACCCCAAGAUAUGUCAUCAUGCAUAUGCAUAUAUUCCAAAAUAAAAAAAAAUCCAAAAUCCAAAACACUUCUGGUCCCAGGAUUUAGGAUAAGGAAUAUGCAACUUGUAACAGAAUCAACAAAUACAACAACUAUAAUUAUUUCUCCCUGUCUCCUUAGCCUUUUGCAAAGGGUAUGCAUUGCUUUGUAAAUUUUUUUAAGCGUUGUAUUGUUUUAAUUCAAAAAGUAGCUGGCACGGGGGCUCACGCCUUUAAUCUCAGCACUUUGGGAAGCCGAAACGGGUGGAUCACGAGGUUAGGAGUUCGAGACCAG
rnacentral:lncRNA from 10 species